CCACUGCAAUGUUGAUCUUGACAGAGUGGGGCUACUAAUCUUUGUUAAGUAAUGUUUUCUCUCACGUAGUGAUCUAAUCAGUUUUGCACUUACAGGCAUGCAGCACUGGCACUGGUUCAGCCAGUCUCAGAAGAACGUGUGCAAAGCUCACCAGGAGACGCAUUUGAUUGCGGGGGGAAGGUGCAGGGCACACGGCCGUGCUUCUUGUGGAAGUGCAGAACAACAGUGGGAUCCACAGGUAUCCAGGGCACGAGGCCAGAGGCGGGGGUCUUGGGGAGACCGCUGUGGACUUGGUGCAAGUCGUAGACCGUUCGAGAUGCUUUCCCAUCCGUUGCUUUUAACAAAGUCACAAAAGGCUCCCCUGGUUUGUGUGUGAUCAGGCGCGAUAACCGUGAGGAGAAGACCCAGCAAAAUAAACUUUGGAUUACAUUUUUAAAAUUUUUAAAACAAUCCAAACCAUAUGAUAAAAAAAAAAUAAAAAAAAAAAGACUUAAACUGCUACGGGCUUCCCUGUAUCUUGAGGUCUGAGGUCGUUUUUAAGCUGUGGCUGUUGUUAUGGCAACAGAGUAAACUUGAGUCAGUCUGCAGUGGGAGGUGGUGGUGAGUCAUCUAAAGACUAUUCUCUUGGUUUGUGUAGGAGUGUCCCCGCCUUGCCUCGUUCAAUGUGUGUGUGUGUGUGUGUGUGGGGGGG